GGUCUUAUAUUCAAUAAUGAUUUUAGACUGCAAUUCUAAAGGUGUAAUUUUACUAAGACCU
rnacentral:tRNA from 1 species